rnacentral:rRNA from 1 species
GAUGAACGCUGGCGGCGUGCCUAAUACAUGCAAGUCGAGCGAACGGACGAGAAGCUUGCUUCUCUGAUGUUAGCGGCGGACGGGUGAGUAACACGUGGAUAACCUACCUAUAAGACUGGGAUAACUUCGGGAAACCGGAGCUAAUACCGGAUAAUAUUUUGAACCGCAUGGUUCAAAAGUGAAAGACGGUCUUGCUGUCACUUAUAGAUGGAUCCGCGCUGCAUUAGCUAGUUGGUAAGGUAACGGCUUACCAAGGCAACGAUGCAUAGCCGACCUGAGAGGGUGAUCGGCCACACUGGAACUGAGACACGGUCCAGACUCCUACGGGAGGCAGCAGUAGGGAAUCUUCCGCAAUGGGCGAAAGCCUGACGGAGCAACGCCGCGUGAGUGAUGAAGGUCUUCGGAUCGUAAAACUCUGUUAUUAGGGAAGAACAUAUGUGUAAGUAACUGUGCACAUCUUGACGGUACCUAAUCAGAAAGCCACGGCUAACUACGUGCCAGCAGCCGCGGUAAUACGUAGGUGGCAAGCGUUAUCCGGAAUUAUUGGGCGUAAAGCGCGCGUAGGCGGUUUUUUAAGUCUGAUGUGAAAGCCCACGGCUCAACCGUGGAGGGUCAUUGGAAACUGGAAAACUUGAGUGCAGAAGAGGAAAGUGGAAUUCCAUGUGUAGCGGUGAAAUGCGCAGAGAUAUGGAGGAACACCAGUGGCGAAGGCGACUUUCUGGUCUGUAACUGACGCUGAUGUGCGAAAGCGUGGGGAUCAAACAGGAUUAGAUACCCUGGUAGUCCACGCCGUAAACGAUGAGUGCUAAGUGUUAGGGGGUUUCCGCCCCUUAGUGCUGCAGCUAACGCAUUAAGCACUCCGCCUGGGGAGUACGACCGCAAGGUUGAAACUCAAAGGAAUUGACGGGGACCCGCACAAGCGGUGGAGCAUGUGGUUUAAUUCGAAGCAACGCGAAGAACCUUACCAAAUCUUGACAUCCUUUGACAACUCUAGAGAUAGAGCCUUCCCCUUCGGGGGACAAAGUGACAGGUGGUGCAUGGUUGUCGUCAGCUCGUGUCGUGAGAUGUUGGGUUAAGUCCCGCAACGAGCGCAACCCUUAAGCUUAGUUGCCAUCAUUAAGUUGGGCACUCUAAGUUGACUGCCGGUGACAAACCGGAGGAAGGUGGGGAUGACGUCAAAUCAUCAUGCCCCUUAUGGUUUGGGCUACACACGUGCUACAAUGGACAAUACAAAGGGCAGCGAAACCGCGAGGUCAAGCAAAUCCCAUAAAGUUGUUCUCAGUUCGGAUUGUAGUCUGCAACUCGACUACAUGAAGCUGGAAUCGCUAGUAAUCGUAGAUCAGCAUGCUACGGUGAAUACGUUCCCGGGUCU